rnacentral:rRNA from 1 species
UACGUAGGGUGCAAGCGUUGUCCGGAAUUAUUGGGCGUAAAGAGCUCGUAGGCGGUCUGUCACGUCGGCUGUGAAAACUCGGGGCUCAACCCCGAGCCUGCAGUCGAUACGGGCAGACUAGAGUGCUGUAGGGGAGACUGGAAUUCCUGGUGUAGCGGUGAAAUGCGCAGAUAUCAGGAGGAACACCGGUGGCGAAGGCGGCUCUCUGGACCGAUACUGACGCUGAGGCGCGAAAGCGUGGGGAGCAAACAGG